CACAUCUGCCCUUGACACAUUCUCACUGUUUAGUGCUGAUCCACAUGCAGAUAGUGCGCCUUCUACAACACAUUUAGGACACCUUAAAAUAAAGUGUUACACAGAUGUAUCAUCACUAGCUGUGAGGAAUUAUAAUGCACUUCUUUCAGUAAAUCUACAGUGACCUGCAUCUGAUCUCAGACCUGUCGCACUGCACUAACGCCCCGCUCCCGUCUCUGCUCAAAGGCAAAGAACACACAGCACGCUGAAUCAUCAACAGUUUUCUGGGGCUGAACAUGAGAAGGAUAAAUGAAGGGACUGUUUAUGUUGAUGCUGUUCCCCGGCUCUUCUUCUGCUUCAGGAACAGAUUCAGAGAAGCUCAAAAAGACUGAAAGUGAUUAGGGAUUGUUCAUAAUUAAACAUUAAGGGGGAAAUGAGCUCUGAAACACAGUGGAAAUCAAGCCAAAUGCUUUACUAAGUUCUGCUUCAGUUCUUCCAAUACUCCCAAAACGCAUUCUAGUCAUUUUACCAAGCUUGCAGGCCUUUUUAGUGCUUUAUUUAAUGUGUUAUUCUGCUGUUCUCCAGCUGUUUAUCUGCUUCUGUAACAAAUGCAACACUUCA